CAGUAGCCGCGGGAAUACGAACCGUGCGAACGUUAUUCGGAAUCACUGGGCUUAAAGCGCGUGUAGGCGGGAGGGCACGUCCGUCGCUGAAAUCCCCCGGCUCAACCGGGGAACGGGCGCGGAUACGACUCUUCUGGAGGAACGUAGGGGGACCUGGAACUUCCGGUGGAGCGGUGAAAUGCGUUGAGAUCGGAAGGAACGCCCGUGGCGAAAGCGAGGUCCUGGACGUUUACUGACGCUGAGACGCGAAAGCCAGGGGAGCGAACGGGAUUAGAUACCCCCGUAGUCCCUGUCUCUUAUA
rnacentral:rRNA from 1 species